rnacentral:rRNA from 1 species
UACGAAGGGGGCUAGCGUUGUUCGGAAUUACUGGGCGUAAAGCGUGCGCAGGCGGCUUCUCAAGUCAGGGGUGAAAGCCCAGAGCUCAACUCUGGAAUUGCCUUUGAGACUGAGUGGCUUGAGUACGAGAGAGGUGAGUGGAAAUUCCCAGUGUAGAGGUGAAAUUCGUAGAUAUUGGGAAGAACACCAGUGGCGAAGGCGACUGACUGGACAUGUAUUGACGCUGAGGUGCGAAAGCGUGGGAGCAAACAGG